UAGAAGGUCCAGCGUUCUCGGUAUUACUGGGCGUAAAGCGUGCGUAGGUGGUUGUUUAAGUCUGUUGUGAAAGCCCUGGGCUCAACCUGGGAAUUGCAGUGGAUACUGGGCGACUAGAGUGUGGUAGAGGGUAGUGGAAUUCCCGGUGUAGCAGUGAAAUGCGUAGAGAUCGGGAGGAACAUCCAUGGCGAAGGCAGCUACCUGGACCAACACUGACACUGAGGCACGAAAGCGUGGGGAGCAAACAGGAUUAGAUACCCUGGUAGUCCACGCCCUAAACGAUGCGAACUGGAUGUUGGGUGCAAUUUGGCACGCAGUAUCGAAGCUAACGCGUUAAGUUCGCCGCCUGGGGAGUACGGUCGCAAGACUG
rnacentral:rRNA from 1 species